rnacentral:rRNA from 1 species
UACGUAGGCGGAAAAUUAAGUCAGUAGUGAAAUCCCGCAGCUUAACUGUGGAACUGUUAUGGAUACUGGUUUUCUUGAAUUUAGUUGAGGUAGGCGGAAUGUGUAAUGUAGCGGUGAAAUGCUUAGAUAUUACACAGAACACCGAUUGCGAAGGCAGCUUACUAAGCUAUGAUUGACGCUGAGGUACGAAAGCGUGGGGAGCGAACAGGAUUAGAUACCCUGGUAGUCC